rnacentral:rRNA from 1 species
AUGAACGCUGGCGGCGUGCUUAACACAUGCACGUCGAACGAAACACCUUAUUUGAUUUUCUUCGGAACUGAAGAUUUGGUGAUUGAGUGGCGGACGGGUGAGUAACGCGUGGGUAACCUGCCCUGUACAGGGGGAUAACAGUCAGAAAUGACUGCUAAUACCGCAUAAGACCACAGCACCGCAUGGUGCAGGGGUAAAAACUCCGGUGGUACAGGAUGGACCCGCGUCUGAUUAGCUGGUUGGUGAGGUAACGGCUCACCAAGGCGACGAUCAGUAGCCGGCUUGAGAGAGUGAACGGCCACAUUGGGACUGAGACACGGCCCAAACUCCUACGGGAGGCAGCAGUGGGGAAUAUUGCACAAUGGGGGAAACCCUGAUGCAGCGACGCCGCGUGAGUGAAGAAGUAUUUCGGUAUGUAAAGCUCUAUCAGCAGGGAAGAAAAUGACGGUACCUGACUAAGAAGCCCCGGCUAACUACGUG